rnacentral:rRNA from 1 species
CGUAUGUGGUUUAAUUCGAUGAUACGCGAGGAACCUUACCUGGGCUCGAACGUAAGAUGACUGUAGGUGAAAGCUUACAUCUCUUCGGAGCAUUUUACGAGGUGCUGCAUGGUUGUCGUCAGCUCGUGCCGUGAGGUGUCGGGUUAAGUCCCAUAACGAGCGCAACCCCUACCUUUAGUUGCCAUCAGGUUAAGCUGGGGACUCUAAAGGAACUGCCUACGCAAGUAGUGAGGAAGGCGGGGAUGACGUCAAAUCAGCACGGCCCUUACGUCCAGGGCUACACACGUGCUACAAUGGCCGAUACAGAGGGCAGCUACCUGGUGACAGGAUGCAAAUCUCCAAAGUCGGUCUCAGUUCGGAUCGGAGUCUGCAACCCGACUCCGUGAAGUUGGAUUCGCUAGUAAUCGCGCAUCAGCCAUGGCGCGGUGAAUACGUUCCCGGGCCUU